GAUGAACGCUAGCUACAGGCUUAACACAUGCAAGUCGAGGGGAAACGAUAGAGAAAGCUUGCUUUUUCUAGGCGUCGACCGGCGCACGGGUGAGUAACGCGUAUCCAACCUGCCCAUCACUUGGGGAUAACCUUGCGAAAGUAAGACUAAUACCCAAUGACGUCUCUAGAAGACAUCUGAAAGAGAUUAAAGAUUUAUCGGUGAUGGAUGGGGAUGCGUCUGAUUAGCUUGUUGGCGGGGUAACGGCCCACCAAGGCGACGAUCAGUAGGGGUUCUGAGAGGAAGGUCCCCCACAUUGGAACUGAGACACGGUCCAAAACUCCUACGGGAGGCAGCAGUGAGGAAUAUUGGUCAAUGGACGAGAGUCUGAACCAGCCAAGUAGCGUGAAGGAUGACGGCCCUAUGGGCUGUAAACUGCUUUUAUAAGGGAAUAAAGUGGGAGUCGUGACUCUUUUUGCAUGUACCUAUGAAUAAGGACCGGCUAACUCCGUGCCAGCAGCCGACGG
rnacentral:rRNA from 1 species